UACGUAGGUCCCGAGCGUUGUCCGGAUUUAUUGGGCGUAAAGCGAGCGCAGGUGGUUUAUUAAGUCUGGUGUAAAAGGCAGUGGCUCAACCAUUGUAUGCAUUGGAAACUGGUAGACUUGAGUGCAGGAGAGGAGAGUGGAAUUCCAUGUGUAGCGGUGAAAUGCGUAGAUAUAUGGAGGAACACCGGUGGCGAAAGCGGCUCUCUGGCCUGUAACUGACACUGAAGCUCGAAAGCGUGGGGAGCAAACAGG
rnacentral:rRNA from 1 species